rnacentral:piRNA from 1 species
UUGAAAUCAAGCAAAGGCCUCAUGGA